rnacentral:ncRNA from 2 species
CUCUUAUAAAGAGCGGUGGAGGGAAGUGCCCUAUGAAACCCGGCAACCAUUACAUUUGUGUAAAAAGGUGCCAAGUCACGCGAAGUGGAUACUUUGGAAGAUGAGAG